rnacentral:rRNA from 1 species
GCGGUUAUACGAGAGGCCCUAGUUGAUUUACUCGGCGUAAAGAGUGGUUAUGGAGAAUGAAACACUAAAGCCGAAGACCCCUUAGGCCGUCAUACGCACCUAGGGGCUCGAAUUAUAAACACGAAAGUAGCUUUACCCCUUCCCACCAGAACCCACGACAGCUGGGACACAAACUGGGAUUAGAUACCCCACUAUGCCCCGCCGUAAACUUAGAUAUUCCAGUACAACAAAUAUCCGCCAGGGGACUACGAGCGCCAGCUUAAAACCCAAAGGACUUGGCGGUGCUUCAGACCCCCCUAGAGGAGCCUGUUCUAGAACCGAUAACCCCCGUUCAACCUCACUACUCCUUGCUUUUCCCGCCUAUAUACCACCGUCGCCAGCUUACCCUGUGAAGGUACUACAGUAAGCAGAAUGAGUAAUACUCAAAACGUCAGGUCGAGGUGUAGCGUACGAAGUAGGAAGAAAUGGGCUACAUUAUCUGAUCCAGAUUAUUCACGGAAGGUUGUCUGAAACGACAAUCCGAAGGUGGAUUUAGCAGUAAAGGGGGAAUAGAGUGCCCCCUUGAAGCCGGCUCUGAAGCGCGCACACACCGCCCGUCACUCUCCCCAACAACCGCCUACACCAAGGUAAAUAACGCAAUAUCCGUCACAAGGGGAGGCAAGUCGUAACAUGGUAAGUG